GGUGUCCUGAACAAACCCGCUGUGUAUAAAUAGUUUAGCCAGCGGUGUUUUCUUUUCUUUGCUGCCUCCAGCUUCUUUUGAAACUAAAUGUGUCUUCUGUCUGUGGCAACAGCCCCAUGCCGAGAGUCAAAAACAUCACACCUUUAAAGUUCUGUGUGUGUGUCACGUUAGGUCAAGGCAGUUUCCUGCUGCGUCGCUAUGACGACCAGCCGCGCUCGCCUCAUGCAUGACGAGUUACUAAAUGUGCAAUGGGAAAAAGGUGGCACCGUGGCCGAGUCGAGCUGAGCCGAGCCGAGCCGAGUAGAGCUGGUACUAGCAGCGGGUAAGCGCCAUAAGGUGUGUCAAAACCUUAU